rnacentral:rRNA from 1 species
CUAAGAAUCUUCCGCAAUGGACGAAAGUCUGACGGAGCGACGCCGCGUGGGUGAUGAAGGCCGUGAGGUUGUAAAGCCCUUUUCUACCUGAGGAAUAAGCCCUUGAGGGAAUGCGAGGGUGAUGACGGUAGGGUAGGAAUAAGCCCCGGCUAAUUACGUGCCAGCAGCCGCGGUAACACGUAUGGGGCGAGCGUUGUUCGGAAUUAUUGGGCGUAAAGGGCGUGUAGGCGGACAUGCAAGUCUGGUGUGAAAGACCGCAGCUCAACUGCGGGCACGCGCUGGAAACUGUAUGUCUUGAAUCCUUGAGGGGGAACUGGAAUUCCUGGUGUAGGGGUGAAAUCUGUAGAUAUCAGGAAGAACAUCAGUGGCGAAGGCGAGUUCCUGGCAAGUGAUUGACGCUGAGGCGCGAAAGCGUGGGUAGCAAACAGGAUUAGAUGCUCUGGUAGUCCACGCUGUAAACGAUGUGCACUAGGCGUUGGGGUGUUGAAACCUCAGUGCCGGAGCUAACGUGGUAAGUGCGCCGCCUGGGGAGUAUGCCGGCNACGGUG